UACGUAGGGGGCGAGCGUUGUCCGGAAUGACUGGGCGUAAAGGGCGUGUAGGCGGCUUUAUAAGUCUGGAGUGAAAGUCCUGCUUUCAAGGUGGGAAUUGCUUUGGAGACUGUAGAGCUUGAGUGCGGAAGAGGUAAGUGGAAUUCCCAGUAUAGCGGUGAAAUGCGUAGAGAUUGGGAGGAACACCAGUGGCGAAGGCGACUUACUGGGCCGUAACCGACGCUGAGGCACGAAAGCGUGGGGAUCAAAC
rnacentral:rRNA from 1 species